UUCGUCCACGUAAUCACUUCAACAGUUUGUUUUCUACUGUACUGACAAUAAAGUGGUUAUUCUACUGCCUUUGUAAUUUUCACUUCCUGUUACUUAAUAUGUAUAUGAACAUAGUGACUACAGUCACGUAGUGGCAGUUGGAUUUGAUCACUUUGUGUUGGCUUUCCGAUGGCCGGUGAGGUUUUGUGAAAAUAAUGCGUGUUCAAAAUUACCACCCGAUUUUUUGACCAUCCAUGGGCUUUGAAAACUCUAGAAUCCAUGAAUAAGAUAUGGCCAAAUCUCUUGGACACAAAAAGCAACGUAGAUUUUUGGUCACAGCAAUGGCGGAAGCAUGACACUUGCGCUAAGCUUACAGGAACAAGGAACGUGUCAGAAUACUUCACAAAAACUAUCAACCUGGCUAGCAUGUACAAUAUUGACCAGUAAGAUGAUUUGUUUUUUGUCAAUUUCAUUUUUAUUCUGCUGAAUA